rnacentral:ncRNA from 2 species
AACCAUCUAGAGAGCUGUGACUGUUUAGAUGGUCGUGUGGGGUAUGCGCACACAGCCUCAGCAGUCACUGCUUUUUAGAUGUUU